GAUCUACUGAUUGUUAAUACAGUGGUGCCUCUGCCGUUUCAUAAAGGUCAUUCUGUCACAAAUCUUGUCUGCAGAGGCUCAUUCAGCUAAAGGUUUGGUUUCAGGACGAAAAAUUGUGAAUCGUUUGAGACUGGGCUCUAUCACCUUCAAACCUUCUGGAAACUAUGACUAUAAGGAUCUUCAAGCAGCAUGGGAGAGUAAGAGCACCACCUGCAGUACCUAAUAAAUUGUCCAGCCUAUGGGUUUCACCUUGCUCCCUUCCAGACUUUGUAGUUCCUAUUGCUAAAGAAGCAUCUGCAUUUCAGUUCUCUCACCUGCAAAAAAAAGAGGGCAUCUGUAAGAUUGAGAACUUCAUGGAGCAUGUAUUCUCCAUGUGUAAACACAAGAAAUGGCGCUUGGACCUGUUUUCUUCAAACUCUUCUGCCUGCAAUUAA
rnacentral:lncRNA from 1 species